GCAAAUUUUCCCAUGAUGAGCAAGUAAGACCAGUAGAUCAUUUCGGAAGAUAUCAUUAAAACUGUUAAAUAUACAAUAUUUCCUUUAUUACUAUGCUUAUUCUAAAGUCACAUAUUUUGAAGUUUAAAAACAAAUUUGAAGCAAUUUAAUAUUUCAUAUUAAUAUAAAAUUCACAACAGAUUCAAAGCAUCUGCAUUUUGAUGUUAGACAUUAUCAUACAAAUAUCAUCAUCUUUUUUAGCUUUUUUUGAAGCAGCUUGGCAUACGAGAUUAUGAAGUACACUCCUUAUAAAUGAGAAAAUCGGUAUCAUUUUCAAGUGUAUCUUUUAGUUCUAAGGACACUUAACUUUUUGAAAAUAAUACAUAUUAUUGCUCAAUGCAUAUGGCUCUCUUGCAUCCUUGUUCAGUGGUCUAUUGUACUCAGCACUGAUAUGUAUUAGAUGAGAUCUUAAACCAUUAGUGCAUGUGA
rnacentral:misc_RNA from 1 species